rnacentral:rRNA from 1 species
UACAGAGGUCCCAAGCGUUGUUCGGAUUCAUUGGGCGUAAAGGGUGCGUAGGCGGCGCGGUAAGUCGGGUGUGAAAUCUCGGGGCUUAACUCCGAGACUGCAUUCGAUACUGCCGUGCUUGAGGACUGGAGAGGAGACUGGAAUUUACGGUGUAGCGGUGAAAUGCGUAGAUAUCAGGAGGAACACCAAUGGCGAAGGCAGCUCGCUGGGACGGUACUGACGCUGAGGCGCGAAAGCGUGGGGAGCAAACAGG